GAAAUGCGAUAAGUAGUGUGAAUUGCAGAAUUCAGUGAAUCAUCGAAUCUUUGAACGCACAUUGCGCCCUCCGGUAUUCCGGAGGGCAUGCCUGUUCGAGCGUCAUUGCAACCUUCAAGCUCUGCUUGGUGAUGGGCGUCUGUCCUUGCGGACUCGUCCCAAAUGCAUCGGCACAGGAUCCGUUGGCCCCCCGCGCAGCACAUGCGCUCUGGGAGGCCUGCGGCAUCCGGCCACCGUGAGGCCGUCAACCAUCUUGACCUCGGAUCAGGUAGGGAUACCCGCUGAACUUAA
rnacentral:misc_RNA from 1 species